AGAGUUUGAUCCUGGCUCAGGAUGAACGCUGGCGGCGUGCCUAACACAUGCAAGUCGAGCGAUUUACUUCGGUAAAGAGCGGCGGACGGGUGAGUAACGCGUGGGUAACCUGCCCUGUACACACGGAUAACAUACCGAAAGGUAUGCUAAUACGAGAUAAAAUACUUUUAUCGCAUGGUAGAAGUAUCAAAGCUUUUGCGGUACAGGAUGGACCCGCGUCUGAUUAGCUAGUUGGUAAGGUAACGGCUUACCAAGGCGACGAUCAGUAGCCGACCUGAGAGGGUGAUCGGCCACAUUGGAACUGAGACACGGUCCAAACUCCUACGGGAGGCAGCAGUGGGGAAUAUUGCACAAUGGGCGAAAGCCUGAUGCAGCAACGCCGCGUGAGCGAUGAAGGCCUUCGGGUCGUAAAGCUCUGUCCUCAAGGAAGAUAAUGACGGUACUUGAGGAGGAAGCCCCGGCUAACUACGUGCCAGCAGCCGCGGUAAUACGUAGGGGGCUAGCGUUAUCCGGAAUUACUGGGCGUAAAGGGUGCGUAGGUGGUUUCUUAAGUCAGAGGUGAAAGGCUACGGCUCAACCGUAGUAAGCCUUUGAAACUGGGGAACUUGAGUGCAGGAGAGGAGAGUGGAAUUCCUAGUGUAGCGGUGAAAUGCGUAGAUAUUAGGAGGAACACCAGUGGCGAAGGCGGCUUACUGGACUGUAACUGACGUUGAGGCUCGAAAGCGUGGGGAGCAAACAGGAUUAGAUACCCUGGUAGUCCACGCCGUAAACGAUGAGUACUAGCUGUCGGAGGUUACCCCCUUCGGUGGCGCAGCUAACGCAUUAAGUACUCCGCCUGGGAAGUACGCUCGCAAGAGUGAAACUCAAAGGAAUUGACGGGGACCCGCACAAGUAGCGGAGCAUGUGGUUUAAUUCGAAGCAACGCGAAGAACCUUACCUAAGCUUGACAUCCUUUUGACCGAUGCCUAAUCGCAUCUUUCCCUUCGGGGACAGAAGUGACAGGUGGUGCAUGGUUGUCGUCAGCUCGUGUCGUGAGAUGUUGGGUUAAGUCCCGCAACGAGCGCAACCCUUGCCUUUAGUUGCCAGCAUUAAGUUGGGCACUCUAGAGGGACUGCCAGGGAUAACCUGGAGGAAGGUGGGGAUGACGUCAAAUCAUCAUGCCCCUUAUGCUUAGGGCUACACACGUGCUACAAUGGGUGGUACAGAGGGCAGCCAAGUCGUGAGGCGGAGCUAAUCCCUUAAAGCCAUUCUCAGUUCGGAUUGUAGGCUGAAACUCGCCUACAUGAAGCUGGAGUUACUAGUAAUCGCAGAUCAGAAUGCUGCGGUGAAUGCGUUCCCGGGUCUUGUACACACCGCCCGUCACACCACGGAAGUUGGGGGCGCCCGAAGCCACUUAGCUAACCCUUUUGGGAAGCGAGUGUCGAAGGUGAAAUCAAUAACUGGGGUGAAGUCGUAACAAGGUAGCCGUAUCGGAAGGGGCGGCUG
rnacentral:rRNA from 1 species